AACGAACGCUGGCGGCGUGCCUAACACAUGCAAGUCGAACGGGGUGAGGGGCUUGCUCCUCAUCUAGUGGCGCACGGGUGAGUAACGCGUGGAUAAUCUGCCUGAUACUCUGGGAUAACAUUUCGAAAGGGGUGCUAAUACCGGAUAAGCCCACGGGAACUUUGGUUCUUGCGGGAAAAGGAGGGGACCUUCGGGCCUUCCGAUAUCAGAUGAGUCCGCGUCCCAUUAGCUAGUUGGUAGGGUAAAGGCCUACCAAGGCGACGAUGGGUAGCUGGCCUGAGAGGAUGAUCAGCCACACUGGAAUUGAGACACGGUCCAGACUCCUACGGGAGGCAGCAGUGGGGAAUUUUGCGCAAUGGGGGAAACCCUGACGCAGCAACGCCGCGUGAGUGAUGAAGGCCCUUGGGUCGUAAAGCUCUGUCAGAGGGAAAGAAAUGUGUGCGGCUAAUAUCCGUUGCACUUGACGGUACCCUCAAAGGAAGCACCGGCUAACUCCGUGCCAGCCGCCGCCGUAAUAC
rnacentral:rRNA from 1 species